rnacentral:rRNA from 1 species
UACAGGGGGGGCAAGCGUUGUUCGGAAUUACUGGGCGUAAAGGGCUCGUAGGCGGCCAACUAAGUCCGACGUGAAAUCCCCAGGCUUAACCUGGGAACUGCGUCGGAUACUGGAUGGCUUGAAUUCGGGAGAGGGAUGCAGAAUUCCAGGUGUAGCGGUGAAAUGCGUAGAUAUCUGGAGGAAUACCGGUGGCGAAGGCGGCAUCCUGGACCGACAUUGACGCUGAUGAGCGAAAAGCUAGGGGAGCAAACGGGG